GUAGGUUGACCCGCCACAUCGGGACUGAGACACUGCCCGGACCUCCACGGAGGGCUGCAGUAACGAAUAUUGCGCAAUGAGCGAAAGCUUGACGCAGCAACGCCGCGUGUAGGAUGAAGCCCCUCGGGGUGUAAACUACUGUCAGGGGUUAGAAAGUCCUCGGAUUGAUCAGCCCCAGAGGAAGUCACGGCUAACUUCGUGCCAGCAGCCGCGGUAAUACGAAGGUGGCAAGCGUUGUUCGGAAUCACUGGGCUUAAAGCGCACGCAGGCGGAACAGAAAGUGUCUUGUGAAAUCCCCCGGCUUAACCGGGGAAUUGCUCGGCAAACUUCUGUUCUUGAGGCAAGUAGGGGUACAUGGAACUCUUGGUGGAGCGGUGGAAUGCGUAGAUAUCAAGAGGAACGCCAAUGGUGAAGACAGUGUACUGGGCUUGUCCUGACGCUGAGGUGCGAAAGCGUGGGGAGCGAACGGGAUUAGAUACCCCGGUAGUCCACGCCGUAAACGAUGUCUACUAGGUUGUGGGUGUUCUGACACAGUCACAGCCGAAGCAAAAGUGUUAAGUAGACCGCCUGGGGAGUACGGUCGCAAGGCUAAAACUCAAAGGAAUUGACGGGGGCUCACACAAGCGGUGGAGCAUGUGGAUUAAUUCGAAUCAACGCGCAGAACCUUACCUGGGUUUGACAUGUUUGGAUGCCUAUCUGGAAACAGAGUCGGCUGCCCUUCGGGGUGAAACUUACACAGGUGCUGCAUGGCUGUCGUCAGCUCGUGUCGUGAGAUGUCGGGUUAAGUCCUUUAACGAGCGAAACCCUUGCCGUUAGUUGCCAGCGAGUAAUGUCGGGGACUCUAACGGGACUGCCGGUGUUAAACCGGAGGAAGGCGGGGAUGACGUCAAGUCCUCAUGGCCUUUAUGCCCAGGGCUUCACACGUGCUACAAUGGUGCCUACAGAGCGACGCGAGACCGCGAGGUGGAGCAAAUCGCAAAAAAGGUGCCUCAGUUCGGAUUGCAGGCUGACAACUCGCCUGCAUGAAGUUGGAAUCGCUAGUAAUCGCGUAUCAGCUAUGACGCGGUGAAUAUGUUCCUGAGCCUUGUACACACCGCCCGUCAAGUGAUGGGAGUCGGGAGUACCCGAAGUCGGAUUGCUAACCAUUUAUGGAGGCGUCUGCCGACGGUAAGUUCGAUGACUGGCACUAAGUCGUAACAAGGUA
rnacentral:rRNA from 1 species